GACGCUGGCGGCGUUGCUUAACACAUGCAAGUCGAACGGUAAGGCCCUUCGGGGUACACGAGUGGGCGAAACGGGUGAGUUAACACGUGGGUGAUCUGCCCUGCACUUCGGGAUAAGCCUGGGAACUGGGUCUAAUACCGGAUAGGACUCCUGGCUUCAUGGUUGGGGGUGUAAAGCUUUUGCGGUGUGGGAUGGGCCCGCGGCCUAUCAGCUUGUUGGUAGGGUAAUGGCCUACCAAGGCGACGACGGGUAGCCGGCCUGAGAGGGUGACCGGCCACACUGGGACUGAGAUACGGCCCAGACUCCUACGGGAGGCAGCAGUGGGGAAUAUUGCACAAUGGCGCAAGCCUGAUGCAGCGACGCCGCGUGAGGGAUGACGGCCUUCGGGUUGUAAACCUCUUUCAAUAGGGACGAAGCGCAAGUGACGGUACCUAUAGAAGAAGGACCGGCCAACUACGUG
rnacentral:rRNA from 1 species